rnacentral:rRNA from 1 species
CACGUAGAGGGCUAGCGUUGUCCGGAAUCAUUGGGCGUAAAGAGCGUGUAGGCGGUCCGGUAAGUCCGCUGUGAAAGUCGGAGGCUCAACCCUCGAAUGCCGGUGGAUACUGUCGGGCUAGAGUGCGGAAGAGGCGAGUGGAAUUCCUGGUGUAGCGGUGAAAUGCGCAGAUAUCAGGAGGAACACCUAUUGCGAAGGCAGCUCGCUGGGACGUAACUGACGCUGAGACGCGAAAGCGUGGGGAGCAAACAGG